rnacentral:pre_miRNA from 1 species
AUGAGAAUUACCAGGGGAUCUUAUUAAAAUGCAGUUUCUGGUUCAUAGGGCUGGGAUGGGGCCCAGGAUUCUGCAUUUCUAACAAGCUCCCAAGUGAGCUGAU